rnacentral:lncRNA from 1 species
GUGCAAUUUGUCUUUGCAUCAUGUAAUUUUCAAUUGUCUGAAUUAAUUAUUACAUUUUGUAAACCAGUGAUUUUAUUGACUAAUGUUAAAUAAUUGUUAUAAUCUUAAUAUAUUCAAACCACUAAAAUAAAUUCUUGGCUUCCUGAUUGCAUGCUAAAAUUUCUUCCUGACAGUAACCUCUAACAUUAGCCUCCGGUCUCAAAAGGUUCAUGAUAUAAAAUUUUGACAAUGGAACAUUUGGUUAUGGGCUUUAGAAUGACGUGUCCAUUGUUCCUCUUCUUUUUACACGUCAGGGGGCAUUGGUAGGGUCAUCUUCAUUUGAGUAAGGGUAAAAUCCUCAUAUAGUACCCAAAUUAUCACGAAAUGCACUUUUUAGUACCUACAAAUUUCCAGGGAGUCCAGUGGUACUUGUACUAUCCCUCCGUUAGCCUUUUUAGUACCUCUGUCCAUUAUUCCGUUAAAAAUGUUUAUGUGGCGGUCAUGUGACACUUAUUUAUAUGUAUUGGUUUUGGAAUCAACGGAUAAGUGUCAAGCUGGGUUGUUGCUGACUGGGGAAUAAAGGGCAGUAAAG